rnacentral:rRNA from 1 species
UUACCAGGUCCUUGUCAUCCUUUAGCCCCUUGCAGACAGACCACUACCUUCGGGGGCAAAGUGACAGGUAGUGCAUGGUUGUCGUCAGCUCGUGUCGUGAGAUGUUGGGUUAAGUCCCGCAACGAACGCAACCCUUGAUCUUAGUUGCCCGCAUUUACUUGGGCACUCUAAGGUGACUGCCGGUGACAAACCGGAGGAAGGUGGGGACGACGUCAAAUCAUCAUGCCCCCUAUGCCCUGGGCUACACACGUGCUACAAUGGAUGGUACAAAGGGCAGCGAAACCGCGAGGUGGAGCCAAUCCCAUAAAGCCAUUCUCAGUUCGGAUUGUAGGCUGCAACUCGCCUACAUGAAGCCGGAAUUGCUAGUAAUCGCGGAUCAGCAUGCCGCGGUGAAUACGUUCCCGGGUCUUUACACACCGCCCGUCCCACCACGAGAGUUUGUAACACCCGAAGUCGGUGAGGUAAACUUUGGACAAGGCCCUUAGGCUAUGGCCAUGUUUUGUUCUUCUUUUGCG